rnacentral:rRNA from 1 species
UGGGAACGUGCCUUUCGGUUCGGAAUAACCCAGGGAAACUUGGGCUAAUACCGGAUACGCCCUUUGGGGGAAAGAUUUAUCGUUGAAAGAGUGGCCCGCGUCUGAUUAGCUAGUUGGUAGGGUAAUGGCCUACCAAGGCGACGAUCAGUAGCUGGUCUGAGAGGAUGAUCAGCCACACUGGGACUGAGACACGGCCCAGACUCCUACGGGAGGCAG